GCGUAACGCGUAUGCAACCUACCUUCAACUGGAGGAUAGCCCCGAGAAAUCGGGAUUAAUACUCCAUAACAUCCAGCUUUCGCAUGUUAGCUGGAUUAAAGUCCCGACGGUUGAAGAUGGGCAUGCGUGACAUUAGUUUGUUGGUGAGGUAACGGCUCACCAAGACUACGAUGUCUAGGGGUUCUGAGAGGAUUAUCCCCCACACUGGUACUGAGACACGGACCAG
rnacentral:rRNA from 1 species